GGGCGCGUAGGCGGUUUUGUAAGUCAUCUGUGAAAUACCCGGGCUCAACCUGGGGGGUGCAGGUGAAACUACAAGACUUGAGUGUGGUAGAGGAAAGUGGAAUUCUUAGUGUAGCGGUAAAAUGCGUAGAUAUUAGGAGGAACACCGGUGGCGAAGGCGACUUUCUGGGCCACAACUGACGCUGAGGCGCGAAAGCGUGGGGAGCAAACAGGAUUAGAUACCCUGGUAGUCCACGCUGUAAACGAUGAUUACUAGGUGUAGGAGGUAUCGACCCCUUCUGUGCCGCAGUUAACACAAUAAGUAAUCCGCCUGGGGAGUACGACCGCAAGGUUGAAACUCAAAGGAAUUGACGGGUCCCCGCACAAGCAGCGGAGCAUGUUCUUUAAUUCGAAGCAACGCGAAGAACCUUACCAGGACUUGACAUCCACAGAAUUUCUAGAGA
rnacentral:rRNA from 1 species